UACGAAGGGGGCUAGCGUUGCUCGGAAUCACUGGGCGUAAAGGGUGCGUAGGCGGGCUUUUAAGUCAGGGGUGAAAUCCUGGAGCUCAACUCCAGAACUGCCUUUGAUACUGAGAAUCUUGAGUACGGGAGAGGUGAGUGGAACUGCGAGUGUAGAGGUGAAAUUCGUAGAUAUUCGCAAGAACACCAGUGGCGAAGGCGGCUCACUGGCCCGUAACUGACGCUGAGGCACGAAAGCGUGGGGAGCAAACAGG
rnacentral:rRNA from 1 species